rnacentral:lncRNA from 1 species
UUUCAUUAAAGUAAAUUCACGCAAAUAAUAACUCUCAAGGACAAGAUCACUCCCAGGCAUGAUAACACUAGAAUUCUUACUUUUUUUUUUUUUUUGAGACCGAGUCUAGCUCUGUGACGCAGGCUGGAGUGCAGUGGCGCGAUCUCGGCUCACUACAAGCUCGUGCCCGGCCUAGAAUUCUUACUCUUGACUGUUAUGCUAUCAAGACACUAGUCAAGGCUUGGAAUAAAAAUUCAUGUCUUCAUGGCAUCCGCAUUUUGACAGUAGCUGAAACCAAAGGAAAAUAUAAAGUUGUCCAAAGAAAGCAGUCAAGUUAAAAACAAUGAACUGGACUCACAAAACGUAUUGGAAUGGAUCUCCAAUAAAUUAGUUCACCUCAGUGCUCAACUAUGAUUCACCUGGUAAUUUUGGAAAACAAGGAUAUUAUUUUAAUUACCCCACAAAUGGAAGGCCAUAACCACAGAAGUGAGACUAACCAAACGUUCAGUACCUGAGAAUACAACAAUAUCCAUUAACCAUGGGAAUGAGCAGAACAUGAACUAAAUCACACUCACAAUGGAGACUCAAGGAAAAGUGGACCAGAGAUCUAAGGUGGUACAGAGCCAAAAUUGCCCAGCCAUGGACAACAGAAAGGGCUUUAACCUCAUAACUCUGAACACCACCAGCCUGGCAGAACAGCAGAGACUGUUGGCAUCACCAGGGACUAGCUGGGACCACUAUAAAAGCUUGACUCACCCUCAGCUCGGAGCGACAGAUUCGAACGUUGUCUCCUGUCCCCUUGCCAGCUGACUUGCAGUAAAG